UACGAAGGGGGCUAGCGUUGUUCGGAAUUACUGGGCGUAAAGGGCUCGUAGGCGGCCAACUAAGUCCGACGUGAAAUCCCCAGGCUUAACCUGGGAACUGCGUCGGAUACUGGUUGGCUUGAAUCCGGGAGAGGGAUGCGGAAUUCCAGGUGUAGCGGUGAAAUGCGUAGAUAUCUGGAGGAACACCGGUGGCGAAGGCGGCAUCCUGGACCGGUAUUGACGCUGAGGCGCGAAAGCCAGGGGAGCAAACGGG
rnacentral:rRNA from 1 species